CCCUACUUCCCCGUGCUCCUUCUACAACAUCACAUGGUUUCUUUAAAUACACCUCAUGCCUUACUUUGAAAACCCUCUGUUGCGAGUGUACUUAUACAUUAGAUUAUUAGAAUUUCAAUAUGUUUUAUGAAAAUUGUAAGUAGCAAAAUAAACAGCCAAGGCAGAAGAAAAUGAUGAAUUAUCCAGACAAGCUCUCCGAUCUAAGGACCUUUAAGGCUACUCUCUCAGUCUGCAGAAUCUCUUUGAAGAUUUCUACGUGGAAUAAGAAUCUGGCCAACAGCAUUUUACAAAGAUGUUAUGACAUCCCCAAAGGUUGCUCCAUGUAUUCUACAUGAAAUGUUUCUUUUGUGUAAUAGCAUAGAGUACUAUGUUAUUACACAAAAUUCCAAUUCCCAGAGGCAAGAAGAGAAAGCAAGAAAUUGUGCAGAGCUUGAAGCUGAGAACCGGCCACUGCAUGGCUUCAAAUAGCUGCUCAACAUUUGACUCACCUAACCGUAACAAGAUCUGAAUACAACCAACUGGAUUGCAGAAGGGAGAUGGUGCUCAUAGCCCAGAGAUAUUACACUCCAAGAAAUCAAUAAAUCUAGUAACUUUGGCUCUUAUUACCAAUGGGUAGGUAGAGGUAAAGGACUAAAUUUUAAUGAAAUACUGUUCUAAAAAAGCCACCUCAGAGUUAGUGGCUGCAAAAUUCUGAAAAUAAAAGCU